rnacentral:piRNA from 1 species
UAAUAUUUGUAUAAACAUUUCCCAGGCCUU